rnacentral:lncRNA from 1 species
UCCACACCCUCCGCCGAUGCUGCAGCUCAACCAAGGAUACAGCACAGUGAAAGUGCCAACGUAAAUGUACCGGCGCAGACCCCGAAACCUGAAGCUCUACCAACGAUACAGCAGAGCGAAAGUGCCAACGUGAAUGUACCGGCGCAGACCCCGACACCUGAAGCUCUACCAACGAUACAGCAGAGUAAAAGUGCCAACGUGAAUGUACCGGCGCAGACCCAGACACCUGAAGCUAUACCAACGAUACAGCAGAGUGAAAGUGCCAACGUGAAUGUACCAGCGCAGACCCCGACACUUGCAGCUCUAUCACAGCGACAUCCAUCGAGCUUCCGGAAGAAGUCCCCCAUUCCUGCUGCUCGUAGCCGGCGCACUGCUUCGAAAGCGGAAGUGGAUAC